CUCUUAAUGUUGUACUUUCACAAACCCUGUUUUUACAUGCAUGCUGUGUUCAAAAUUGGGUUAUUAUUUACCUUAUUUUAUCAUCAUAUAAGUAAUGUCUGCUCAUUACAAAUCUACUUUUAUUGUUGACCUGAGUCUCAACAGAGGGGAAAAUACUAAGGAAAUACUCGUGAUUUUGUAGUCUUUUGUAGAUGAAACGCUAUAAGGGUAUCACCAGUCCAGUAGUCAGCACCUCUGUGUUGACAUGUAUAUACUAUAUCAUUGAUAUGGUCAUGAUAUUUAAAUAUCUGUUAACAAAACUUUGAACUUUUGAAAUACUUAGGGUUUUCCACCUGAGGAAUAGAUUACUUUUAGACUUUUUUUAGCUAUAAUUUCGUACUUUAAUUGUUUAUUUUU
rnacentral:lncRNA from 1 species